rnacentral:lncRNA from 1 species
CUGUCCGUUCGGCGGUCAUGCACGCCGCCCUCGAAUCGGACCAAAUUGGUACCGUUUUCGGGUAGUGCGGUCGGGGGCGUGACAGUUUGUGGUAUCAGAGCGAGUUAAGAGCAAGCAAAAGAGAGAGUCUAGGAUGACCUAGGAGACUCUAGGUUGGUUAACCCUAAGGUUAUAGGUGCGUGAGUGCGACGUGAACCUAUGACGCGGCAGAAGCUAAUCGAUUGGGUUUGGAGUUGGUGUUGUACUCUAGUUAUGACUAGAGAUGAUUCAAGUGGUAUUAAUUUUUGGUUUAAGGUGUUGUGUUGGCGGCCGACAACACGAUGCUGGAAGUCAAGAAUUAAGACACUUGCAAGCUACAGUAAAUCUGUACGGACGCUACAGUAGCGUCCGUACGGUGCUACAGUAUUUUUUUUUUUUUUUAUGUUGCUUGAAAACAAGAAACCGUUCGAUUAAAUUGUUGAUCACUUUGAUCUUUUCGAAUUAGCCAAAAACGAUCGAUAAAUCGUUUUCUCGGCAAAAAAACGGUUUAGAAUACCCAAAAAUCAUAAUUUUAAUCUUAAAAACAUGAGGAUGUCUCUGAUACCACUGUUAAAAAAUUGCGUACGGUAAAACGCAGCGGAAAAAGAAAUCAAACAAAUUUGAUUUUGAAAAACUCUCGAGAUCUAAUCUCAAAAACCACGCAAUUAGGAUCCCUCAUGUUCUUUAAGAUUAAAGGAGAAAAGUAAGAUCGAAUCAUUACCUUUUUCGCGGAUAAAU